GAAGGAGGCCCAGUUCUCCAGGGAAUUUAAUUCCUGAGCUUUUGGUCGUCUCUUGACCCAGCCGAGCAAAGCUGACUAAUGUGAGACCGCACCCUAAAAGUACUGUGUGUGUUGACCCUGAAGGCUUAGUAAGACAUCGCGAUCCUGGUCAUUUGGGCGCAUUGAGUCAUGGCCCAACAGAUUUACUCCGUUAUUAAAUUAGAAGAAGCCAACAGAAGAGUGGCCCAUGUGCAUGGACAGGGCUGGAGUGAUUCUUGCUUCAACAGCAGUCCCUUCAACCUUGCUUGAAUGGAGGCCGCGUAGAUCACAAGCUCCACAGACUACAAGAUAUCUUUGCUCAGAAGGAACCACAAGGUCACUGACAGCUAGACUCAACAUUGUUCCCCCGCAUAUCAAACUAAGCAGAGUUGUAAAUUGUUUCAACUUAUGAAUAGAACUCCACUGAACCACACCAUAGCUAUAGAGUUGACCUGCAGUUUUACCCUGCUAAGGGAGUUAUUUUGUAGUGACAAAACUUUUCUUCUGGUGGCCUGACACAUCAUGGGACUUGGAGGUUGGGAAUUCUUCCUUCCCAUCAAAUGUUGGUUCUAAAUCCACAGAACUGUUUGAGAAUCCAGAUACAAAAUGAUGAUACUAUUGAUGAUUUGAUUCGAAAAGAUGGAAGAGAUUGACAGCACAGAGAUGCCAAAAAUUUUAAAUAUAAUCUUUAAAAACUUCAUUCUUAAAAUGUGAAAGGAAGAUACACACAAGAAAAAGGCAACUGCCCUGGACACUGGCAUGUCCAAAUGUAAUGACUAGACCUGCUGCAGCCAUCUUGCAACCAGAGAGGAGGCAACUUAAAAACAAAGCCAACACAAUGAAAUGACUCAGAAGAAAGUGGAAAGACCUGAGUACUUGUUGAUGCUAUUGAGCUGAUGAAUUAAACCUGGUGUAUACCAAC